GGGAAGGUGGCUCAGUGGUAGAGCAUUUGCCUUGCAUGCUCAAGGCCCUGGGUUCGAUUCCUCAGC
rfam:Dipodomys ordii contig_50998, whole genome shotgun sequence.